rnacentral:tRNA from 1 species
AAAGGGAGACCUAAUUCCGGUAGGAGACGAAAAAAAAGUAGUCCCAACCAAGAAUCAAUCCCAAAAGGUCGGAGCGAGGCGAAAUUGGCUUUCAAACUAGGUUCUGGGUUCACACAAGACCUGAAUCAGGAACAAGGGCUAUUAGCUCAGGUGGUUAGAGCGCACCCCUGAUAAGGGUGAGGUCCCUGGUUCGAGUCCAGGAUGGCCCACCUGCACAGGUGGCAAAAACAAAGAAAAAAAGCUCCGAAUCAGCACCUUAUCUUACUUAUACAGUAAGAGAGAAUGCUGGCUCUGAGCUCAGAGUCCAGAGGAACCUUGAAAACUGCAUAGAGCUAGGUGAAAAAGCCAAAAAAGAAGACCGCAAG